rnacentral:rRNA from 1 species
GACGUAGGGCGCAAGCGUUGUCCGGAUUUAUUGGGCGUAAAGAGCUCGUAGGCGGCUUGUUGCGUCGACUGUGAAAACCCGCAGCUUAACUGCGGGCCUGCGGUUGAUACGGGCGGGCUAGAGUUCGGUAGGGGAGACUGGAAUUCCUGGUGUAGCGGUGAAAUGCGCAGAUAUCAGGAGGAACACCAGUGGCGAAAGCGGCCACCUGGACUGUACCUGACGCUCAAACGCGAAAGCUAGGGGAGCGAACGGG